UACGGGGGGAGCAAGCGUUGUUCGGAUUUACUGGGCGUAAAGGGCGCGUAGGCGGCCUCUGCAAGUCAGUUGUGAAAUCUCCGGGCUUAACUCUGAAAGGUCAACUGAUACUGCAGGGCUAGAGUGCGGAAGGGGCAACUGGAAUUCUCGGUGUAGCGGUGAAAUGCGUAGAUAUCGAGAGGAACACCUGCGGCGAAGGCGGGUUGCUGGGCCGACACUGACGCUGAAGCGCGAAAGCUAGGGGAGCGAACGGG
rnacentral:rRNA from 1 species